AAGUUGCUGGGAAGUCCGCCUGGAUUCAUCAUACGAACUUCAAGAUAUCACCUCCAGAUGAAUCCACUGACCAUCCAGCUAAAGAUAAGUGGACAAUUACUAAGGGAGACAAUCCCUUAAAGAUAAGAUUCAAAAUUGAU